AUUGAACGCUGGCGGCAUGCCUUACACAUGCAAGUCGAACGGCAGCACGGGGCAACCUGGUGGCGAGUGGCGAACGGGUGAGUAAUGCAUCGGAACGUACCUUUCAGUGGGGGAUAACGUAGCGAAAGUUACGCUAAUACCGCAUAUUCUGUGAGCAGGGAAGCAGGGGAUCGCAAGACCUUGCGCUGAUUGAGCGGCCGAUGUCAGAUUAGCUAGUUGGUGAGGUAAAGGCUCACCAAGGCGACGAUCUGUAGCGGGUCUGAGAGGAUGAUCCGCCACACUGGAACUGAGACACGGUCCAGACUCCUACGGGAGGCAGCAGUGGGGAAUGUUGGACAAUGGGCGCAAGCCUGAUCCAGCCAUGCUGCGUGAGUGAAGAAGGCCUUCGGGUUGUAAAGCUCUUUCGGCCGGGAAGAAAUCGUAUGGGUUAAUACCCUGUGCGGAUGACGGUACCGGCAUAAGAAGCACCGGCUAACUACGUGCCAGCAGCCGCAGUAAUAC
rnacentral:rRNA from 1 species